ensembl:lncRNA
GAUGGCUGACCUGGAUCGGUCGCAGGGCACGUGAUCUGCGGGGGCCUCAGAAGCUGUUGGAAGGCGGCCAACUAAAACAGAGACUCUGAGACACUAAGUACCUGGUUCAAGGUGACCUUGACACAAGGUGCAGUGGAGGUCCCACAGUCUGACUUUCCCAAAUGCCUGAGUUCACAAGCAAGUGGGGAAGGUGCUCCCACUAAGUGACCUGUGACAUCACCUACCUUUCUCAGCGUCAGCAGCCCCUCCCCCGACCCCAGCAUACAUCCUGCCCUCCACGGACUUGAUUCCUAGCCGCUGACUGACUACAGCAAGAGAUGGCUGUAAUUCCCUUGGCAAGUCCUUACUGAUACAGUUAUGUCCUGGUGAGGGGAACCAGAACCACGGAGGAGGAGAAGCUUGUUCAGGUUUGAACACCUGGGGCCCCAGACAGACACUCUACGGAUCUGAAUUCAAGCCGUGGCCGCCCCAUCCUCAGAAAAAGCCAAGGAAGAGGUUGCUGCUGUCUUGGGCAGAAAAAGGCCUUCACAGCGCCCUGCUGACCUACACUUAGCACUCCCCACAGCCUGAAUCCAGAAAGCGGCUGGUUAUUUGGACUGCCACAGCUGUAGAGGCUGCAUAGACACACCUUGAAAAUACAGGGAGCCCCAGUGGACUGCUAGGCUCUCAGAGCCUGGCUAGGACAGAGCCUCUGAUGGGUUAAAGGGGACCAGGACUCUGCCCACCCUCACCCUAGGAACCAGAUGGUCCCUAGGGACCUGCAGACUCUGCCAGCCUGGCCUUGGCACCAGAUCUUCUGGCCAGCCUCCUGAAGUCACUGUUCCUGUGUCUGCACUGACCAGACAGCGAAGCUCUCUUUAGUGACUGCACUUCUCAGCUCACAUCCAUUUUGAAUUGCUAUCAACUUAAUCCUAAGAAUAAUUUAGUUUUUGUGAGAAUUGGGGUUCUCCUGUUACUCCACCUCCCUUUUAUCCCUGUUUCCACAUUUCCUCCUUUCUGUACCUAAAUCAGCUUUGUGUUGUUGAUUUUGAUGCAAGGUUUCUCUGUGUAGCUCUGGCUCUCUGUAGACCAUGCUGGCCUCGAACCCUGAGACCCACCUGCCUCCACCUCCCGAGUGCUGCGAUUAAAGGUGUGUGCCACUCCCCACUGGCUAAAUUAGUUUUUGAAAAAAAAGGUAGAAUUUACCAGUCUUCUCAUAUAAACAGCAAAAACCAAACAGAUCCCUGCAGUCUCGGGCUGGCCGGCUCAACGGCAGUAGACUAUGACCACAAGGGGGCGCACCGAAGUCAACACCAUCUUGGCCCACACAGUAAAG